rnacentral:lncRNA from 1 species
GCAAGAGGCACUCUGGUUUCAGCUCAGGGAUACACACAGUGGACUUUUGGCCUCCAGCACUAUGAACUGAGCUCAGUCCAUGGGGUUUACACAGCAAGCAUUUUACCAACGGAUCCAUGUGGCUUGUGCCAAGUCCCCAUCAACACUGCUGAGUUGCUGUAAUACUCAAACCAGUUCAGAGCCUCAUUUCUUUUGCUUCAUUAUCCUGGAAAAUGCCUGUCAUGUGAGGCCCUGAAGCAUCUGCGAGGUGAGUAGGGCCUCCUUCUCAGUCUAUACACAGUGCAAGCUGCCUGCCUUGCUGAAUUCCUCAUGUUCCUGUCUGCAUGCUGCACGCACUUAGACAACUAUUUCCCAACUCUUGGAGGGUCUCUGCUGCUGCCUAAUUACUAAACAUAAAGGUCAACUUUGAGGCAGGCACUGGUAUUUGGUGGCUCUACCCUUACUAGAAUCUCAGACUUCUUUCUUUCUACUCAGUAGAAUAACAAGACUUGGGGUUUUUUCCCACUCAC